CCUACGGGUGGCAGCAGUGAGGAAUAUUGGUCAAUGGGCGCGAGCCUGAACCAGCCAAGUCGCGUGAGGGAAGACGGUCCUAUGGAUUGUAAACCUCUUUUGUCGGGGAGCAAAAGACGCCACGCGUGGCGUUCCGAGAGUACCCGAAGAAAAAGCAUCGGCUAACUCCGUGCCAGCAGCCGCGGUAAUACGGAGGAUGCGAGCGUUAUCCGGAUUUAUUGGGGUAAAAGGGUGCGCAGGCGGAAGAUCAAGUCAGAGGGAAAAUUGAGAGGCUCAACCUCUCCGAGCCGUUGAAACUGGUUUGCUAGAGUGAGUGAGAGGUAUGCGGAAUGCGUGGUGUAGCGGUGAAAUGCGUAGAUAUCACGCAGAACUCCGAUUGCGAAGGCAGCAUACCGGCGCUCAACUGACGCUGAUGCACGAAAGUGUGGGUAGCGAACAGGAUUAGAUACCCCAGUAGUC
rnacentral:rRNA from 1 species